rnacentral:rRNA from 1 species
CCUACGGGUGGCAGCAGUGAGGUAUAUUGGUCAAUGGGCGCGAGCCUGAACCAGCCAAGUAGCGUGAAGGAUGACUGCCCUACGGGUUGUAAACUUCUUUUAUAAAGGAAUAAAGUGCGGCAUGUGUGCUUUUUUGUAUGUACCUUAUGAAUAAGGAUCGGCUAACUCCGUGCCAGCAGCCGCGGUAAUACGGAGGAUCCGAGCGUUAUCCGGAGUUAUUGGGUUUAAAGGGAGCGUAGAUGGGUUGUUAAGUCAGUUGUGAAAGUUUGCGGCUCAACCGUAAAAUUGCAGUUGAUACUGGCAGCCUUGAGUACAGUUGAGGUAGGCGGAAUUCGUGGUGUAGCGGUGAAAUGCUUAGAUAUCACGAAGAACUCCGAUUGCGAAGGCAGCUUACUAAACUGCAACUGACAUUGAUGCUCGAAAGUGUGGGUAUCAAACAGGAUUAGAUACCCGAGUAGUC